AAUUCGUCCCAAAAUGAAAUAGAACUCUAGUAUACUACCUCUACCUCUCUCAGUAUCUUCUCUCUGUCACUCCCUCACUCUUUCGGUAUAUCUCAUCUCAGUAUCUUCAAUCUCUCGCUCACCUCACCUGAUUCUCGCUCAACCUUCAUCUCACUUUCUCCACUCUUUCUCUCUAAUUAAAGGCGAUUAGGGCUCUUUCUUGAGGCUCGAAGUUGGGGCUUUGACUUGGGAUUUGAGUUAGGAUUUUUAAUUAAGGCAGAUUGAGAUUGAUAGUAAAUUUCUAGAAGCACUGAACAUCAAGGACUACAGUCAUCUACUUGGUGUGCAUUAUCGAGCUGCCCAGCAUUUGCGAUCUCUUAUGUCUUAUAAUCAAAGUCUGGCAGACGGACUUGGAGUAGUUGCGGAAGAAGGUGGGAUGCCCAUUUGAAUAACCAAUUUAUGAUUUAAAGAUUCCUAAAUCUUCAGUUACAGGGUAGGUUAUACAUAAGUAAACUGGUUUCUAUUACACUGCCACAUUUUUCAUAACUUUAUUAAUAAAUUUCUGAGUGUUAGACUCCUUCUGCAGAGUAUCAUUAACUUGGAUGCAUAUAAAUGAAUGGAAUUUAUCACGGUAUCAUAAUUUAGACAGCUAGUAUCUGUAUCAUAAUUGAAAGUCUUGACACUAUUGUGUUUUUCGUAGAGCAACCAACUUAUGGUCACCUUGGAGAUGGCAAUCUUGAUCUUAAUAUAUCAAUCCCACAAUACGACAAUAUCGUAACAUCCUUAUUCCUGAUUUAAGAGUUCAGUCGUGUAUCUAGGGAUGCUAUUUUUUUUAACAAUUACCACAUUUUACAAAUUUUAGCACAAAUUGAGCCCUUUGUUUAUGAAUGGACAUCAAAGCACCAUGAGAGUAUCAGUGCAAAGCAUGGAUUGGGGUUUACAAAAGCUGUUAAGAUAUACUACAACAAGUCACUCAAAACUGUUUGGCAACACAAUACAUGGAUUGGUGGAAUUCAUGAUGUUGGGCUGGCAGAUGAUCGAUCCUAAUGGUGUAACUUUGUCAAGUGAAACCAAAGACAUAGUAGAUGCAACUUUCAUGUAUAGUGUAAUUAUGAACUACAAGAGUUGUUUGAUGUGUAAUUUUUGUAAUAAACUAUUUAAAUAUUUUAAAGUAGGACAACACUUUGCGGUGUGCUUGUUUUUAUUGUAUUUUUAGUAGGGUUAAAUAUGCAUUUGUUCCGUGUGUAUUAAUGGAUUGAAUAUCUGGUAGUGAAAUAAAUAAAAUGUGUUCUUAUA